rnacentral:rRNA from 1 species
ACCUAAUAGAUACCCCGGUAGUCCACGCCCUAAACGAUGCGAACUGGAUGUUGGGUACAUUACGGUACUCAGUGUCGAAAGCUAAACGCGUUAAGUUCGCCGCCUGGGGAGUACGGUCGCAAGACUGAAACUCAAAGGAAUUGACGGGGGCCCGCACAAGCGGUGGAGUAUGUGGUUUAAUUCGAUGCAACGCGAAGAACCUUACCUGGCCUUGACAUCUGUCGAAUCCUGCAGAGAUGCGGGAGUGCCGCAAGGAACGACAAGACAGGUGCUGCAUGGCUGUCGUCAGCUCGUGUCGUGAGAUGUUGGGUUAAGUCCCGCAACGGAGCGACCU